rnacentral:lncRNA from 1 species
UGCCCUGCCCCCAGAGGUGGAGCCUACAGAGGCAGGCAGGACUCCUUGAGCUGUGGUGGGCUGGGCCCAGUUGGAGCUUCCCGGCUGCUUUGUUUACCUAAGCAAGCCUGGGCAAUGGCGGGCGCCCCUCCGCCAGCCUCACUGCCGCCUUGCAGUUUGAUCUCAGACUGCUGUGCUAGCAAUCAGCGAGACUCCGUGGGCGUAGGACCCUCCGAGCCAGGUGCCGGAUAUAAUCUCGUGGUGCGCCGUUUUUUAAGCCCGUCCGAAAAGCGCAAUAUUCGGGUGGGAGUGACCCGAUUUUCCAGGAGGGGGAGGAGCCAAGAUGGCCGAAUAGGAACAGCUCCGGUCUACAGCUCCCAGCCUGAGCGACGCAGAAGACGGGUGAUUUCUGCAUUUCCAUCUGAGUGAACAUAGAUUCCUUCAGUAAAUAUUGGGAAAACAUUUGCUUCAGGCCCAUUACUGGGUACCGCUUUGAUACAGAGGACACACCAAGGAACAAGACAGAUAGGACCUCUGCCUCUGGUAAGUUUGCAUUCCAGAGGGAGGAGAAGACAAUAAGCAAGCAAGCCAUCAAGACCACGUCAGAUGAGACGAAUAAAGUCAGACAGCUUCCAAGGAGUGGAUGCUUAUGGAGAGAUCACAUGGAGCCUUGUAGCUGAUUUAUAAUCUCAUGGUCCUCAUUCAUACAUCAAACCCCUGAAGGCCUGGCAUUUUUAUCUCCCGACUCAACCUGCAUGCUACCAGAAGCUCGACAAAAUUACGGUGAAUAAGACAUGCUUCUUCCCUUCAAGAAGCUUCUAGUCAAUGGAGGAUAUGUAAGGCAGCAAUCUAACAGCAAUACAACACUAAACGUUCCUUGAGAAAAACACAAACAACAGGCAGAACUCAUGUCUGAGUAGAAGCUUCUUAGAAGAACUGAGUAGAACUUGGAAGAAACAUGUACCUCCUUCACACACAUAAUAUUGUUUUAUACUAUGCUAUCUUGUUGUAGGGGUACGUGUUGAUAUAUAACCCCAUUUUGCAUGUGAAGUCAAUGGGCUCAGUGGGCUCAGAGAGAUACAGUGAUUGAUUUGUUCUAGUUCCUUUUUUUUUUUUUUUUUGAGACAGAGUCUCACUGUGUCACCCAGGCUAGAGUGCGGUGGCUCAAUCUUAGCUCACUGCAGGCUCCACCUCCCAGGUUCAAGCAAUUCUCUGCCUCAGCCUCCCGAGUAGCUGGGAUUACAGGUACACUUUACCAUGCCCAGCUAAUUUUUGUAUUUUUAGUACAGAUGGGGUUUCACCACGUUGGCCAGGCUGGUCUUGAACUCCUGACCUCAAGUGAUUUACCUGCCUCGGCCUCCCAAAGUGCUGGGACUACAGGCGUGAGCCACCACGCUUGGCCUGCUCUAGUUCUUGUAGGUAAUAAGAGAUGGUGUUAAAUUCCUGUAACUAAUAAGAGAUGGGCUCAAAUUCUCCCUUGAACUCUAAGUCUGGCCCCUGGGCCACAUAAAGUAGGUCCUCUAAG